CUACUCACUCAUACUUGUCCUGUUAUUUACCCUCUGACCAUCUCACCUCCCCCCUUUUGCACCCUGCCCCUUUUAUCUCCACACGGGUACCUCUCCCUUUCCUCCUCCUUCUUUUCUAACCCGAACGCCCAGUGGAACUCCGCCCCCUUUUUUGAAAAACCCAAAUCUCCGUCCGUUCUCCGCUCCAACUUGGGAUAAACAGGCGAUCUCCGGCGCCUCUCCUCAACAUCUUUUUGAUAAACUCACGCCGGAGAGCCUCGCCUGUUUAUCAAAAACAUGUCUUCUUGAUAAUAUUUUGAAGUCUUACCUGCUCACUGAUUAAUUUAAAGGGCCGCGGUAUUAUGACCGUGCAAAGGUAGCAUAAUCAUUAGUUUCUUAAUUGGGGACUGGAAUGAAUGGUUUGACGAGAAAUUGACUGUCUCUUAAUAAUUUUUAGAAUUUAACUUUUAAGUUAAAAGGCUUAAAUAUUUCUUGAGGACGAGAAGACCCUAUAGAGCUUCACAUUUAUAAAUUAAUUUUUAUUAUAUAGUUUAUUUUUUAAUGUUAAUCCUUCUUGUUUUGUUGGGGCCCCAUGAAGAAUAAUUAACCCGACCCCCCCCGGAUCACAAAACCCAGGGUCCGAGGUCCAACCCGACCCCCCCCUGUUUUCCAAACCCAGGAUCCGAGUUCCAACCGGACCCCCCCCGUUUAUCAAAAACCAGGAUCUGAGUUCAAACCGGAGGUCGCCUGUUUUCAAAAACCGGAUCUGAGUCAACCGAGAUNNCCNNUNNNC
rnacentral:rRNA from 1 species